CUCUCCCUGAGCUGGGGCCAGUGCAUUGGAACUCACCUUGUGCAGCUUCAGCUCCCUGGAUUGAGAGAACAUUCCUGGGUGUGGCCCAGUUAGACCCAGUGAAGCCUGCAUAGCCUAGUCAAGUGUGGCUGGAAGCUGGGCCAGCACUUAACUGGUAGUUGCCGUGAUCUUAAACUCUCCCUGGGCCCACUCCGGUGUGCUGGAACUCACCUCGUGCAGCCUCAGCUCCCCAGAUUGAAAGCUGUAUACCCAAUAUUCAAGAUAUGCACAGAGUGGUUGACUUCAAAACUCAGAGCUUUUAACAUCAAGAAGUUCUGCCUGGAAGUGACAAGUGCUGGGCAGAAUUCACCUGUGGUAUCCAGCACAGUCUGGCACCAGAAUGUAGUGAGUGGCAGCAGCAGAGAACCAGCACCUGGUAGAGUCAACCUGACGUGUCCACCAUAAGCUGGCACUGGAUGAUGAUGGCCAACAGUAGUGGUUACCAGAAGAUGGCUGUCAAAUGGGAACCAGAAAUCUGAGCAUCUCCUGGGAGGUUGACCAUAGCAAUAAGGGGGAUUUCCUUCUGCCAUAUUUUUGAAGGCAAGUAUUUUAUUACUCUUUUGCUGUAUUCUGAUUAAUGGUACUGCUCUAUUCAUUAUUCUGUUUAGAUAAGUUCUAUAAUGUUCUGUAUUUCAUUUUAUUUUGAUAUAUGUGAUUGAAAGAACUACUAUUGUAAAGAUAAUGAAGUAUACUGUGAUACCUAUUACUGUUAUCCAGGUAACCUGCCAUGAAGUUCUGUACCAAUUUCACUGUAUGAUCAUAGUUGGCUUUAUUCUGUCUUGUUCUGUUGUGUUUUACUACUUUCAAAAUAAAAUUAAAAAAAAAAAAAAAGACCUUUAUGCUCUCCGCUUCAAGGUUAAGUGCUCAGUGCAGAAGUAAAUUGAUAAAAUUUCCUAGUGUAGCCUUUCUUUGCACUUCAUUAGUUAUCAGGUAGUUGUUUGUUUCUUUUGCAAAUAUAUAUGAUUAUUACCUGCUUUACACAAGCAUUUUUUAAAAAAGUUUCGCUCUCCUUCACAUACUGUGCUACAGCCAACAAGCCAGAAAAUGUGAUUGCUAGUUAGGACAUAAUUAUCCCAAACUCUGCCCGCAGACAUUCUUUGCUGAAUGAAUUUUGAAUUUUCUGAAUAAGCCGGUCAUGUCAGAAAAAACUGAAACAACUACUAAUAUCUAAACAUUUACAACAAAAUGAUCUUUAUGAUUUCAAUAAUCUUAGGACAAGUAAAAAACAUUCUGGUGCCUCUCAAAAGCCUAAAAGUGAAAAAUACGUUAAUGCAUAUUUUGUAUUUAAAAGCAAACUUGACACUACAGGAAAAAUUCAGUAAAACUCAAAUGACAAUGAUGUAAAAAUUUAUUUUUCUUACAUUGGUGAUGAAACAAAUCCUCACUUUAUGCAGCCAAAAAAAAAAAAAAAAAAAAAGGAGAGAGAGAAAAAUCUAGUAAGGAUUAAGUAAAGAAUUCCAAUGUACAUUUUUCAAUUCUUCUGCAGUAUAAAUGAACACAUUUGAUUAACUUUCAGUUUUAGAAGGC